AGUCGAGCGAUGAAACACCUUCGGGUGUGAAUUAGCGGCGAACGGGUGAGGAACACGUGAAGAAUCUGCCUUCAACUCUGGGAUAACCCCGGGAAACCGGGGCUAAUACCGGAUAUGAGCCUCGAUCGCAUGAUUGGGGCUGGAAAGUUUUUCGGUUGAAGAUGACUUCGCGGCCUAUCAGCUUGUUGGUGAGGUAAUGGCUCACCAAGGCGACGACGGGUAGCCGGCCUGAGAGGGCGACCGGCCACACUGGGACUGAGACACGGCCCAGACUCCUACGGGAGGCAGCAGUGGGGAAUAUUGGGCAAUGGAGGAAACUCUGACCCAGCGACGCCGCGUGAGGGAUGAAGGCCUUCGGGUUGUAAACCUCUUUCAGUAGGGAAGAAGCGAAAGUGACGGUACCUACAGAAGAAGCACCGGCUAACUAUGUGCCAGCAGCCGCGGUAAUACAUAGGGUGCAAGCGUUGUCCGGAAUUAUUGGGCGUAAAGAGCUCGUAGGUGGUUCGAUACGUCGGAUGUGAAAAUCAGGGGCUCAACCCCUGACCUGCAUCCGAUACGGUCGAGCUAGAGUUUGGUAGGGGAGACUGGAAUUCCUGGUGUAGCGGUGGAAUGCGCAGAUAUCAGGAGGAACACCGAUGGCGAAGGCAGGUCUCUGGGCCAAUACUGACACUGAGGAGCGAAAGCGUGGGGAGCGAACAGGAUUAGAUACCCUGGUAGUCCACGCCGUANACGGUGGGCGCUAGUUGUGCGAACCUUCCACGGUUUGUGCGACGCAGCUAACGCAUUAAGCGCCCCGCCUGGGGAGUACGAUCGCAAGAUUAAAACUCAAAGGAAUUGACGGGGCCCCGCACAAGCAGCGGAGCAUGCGGCUUAAUUCGACG
rnacentral:rRNA from 1 species